GGACUACCGGGGUAUCUAAUCCCGUUUGCUCCCCUAGCUUUCGCGCCUCAGCGUCAGAAGAGGUCCAGCACGCCGCUUUCGCCACCGGCGUUCCUUCCGAUAUCUACGCAUUUCACCGCUCCACCGGAAGUUCCGCAUGCCCCUACCUCCCUCGAGGCCACCAGUAUCAAAGGCACUUUUCCGGUUGAGCCGAAAGAUUUCACCCCUGACUUGGUGGCCCGCCUACGCGCCCUUUAAGCCCAGUGAAUCCGAAUAACGUUUGCACGGUUCGUCUUACCGCGGCUGCUGGCAC
rnacentral:rRNA from 2 species